rnacentral:lncRNA from 1 species
AUGUAUUUACACAUUAUAAAUUAUUUGACUUUUAUCUCAGAAAAUAGAAAAUUUAUGACCUUUGUUAAUAAAACAAUCAUAGAACUUUAUUGAAGGAUCUAUUGCUUUGUUCGAGAGCAAAGUCUUUUCGAUUUACCUAAGCUUGAGUGAAGCACAGCUAGACUAAGUUUAGAGGGAAAUGAAUUGUUACUCGACAGCACUCAACAGCAACCACAAAAACUUUGGAGAAACUGUACCAUUAUAUCCAGGAAGACAAGAAACAGGAUAUUUAGCUAAAUUAAAUUUUAAUUAUUCAGCAAUGUAUUGGGUGUCUAAGGGAAUGCCUAAGGAAAAAAUUGUCAUUGGUAUUCCACUUUAUGGUCAUUCUUAUCAACUUUAUAAGUCACUGAAUCAUGAAAUUAUGGCUCCAGUUAUCCAACAAUUUUUUGGUUUAUAAGCAUAGGCGCUAAUAAGGUAUUUGAUGAAGAUAGUCGACCACUUUAUUCUUAUAGAUACGAUGAAUGGAUUUUUUACGAUGAUCGCGUUAGUGUUCUAGAACAAGCUGAAUGAAUUAAGUCAAAUGGCUUCAAAAGUGCUAAAUUAUUCUCAUUGAAUACUGAUGAUUGGAACGGCAGCUAUGAUGAUAGUAUUAACAUAACAUUCCCAUUAACACGUACAUUUACGUGAAGCACAGCUAAACUAAGUCUCGAAGGAAAUAAAUUGUCACUCGACAGCGCUCAACAGUAUCCACAAAACUUGGGAGAAACUGAUGAUAGAACAGGUAGAAAAAAAAGUCAAAUUUCUUAAUAUUUAUCUGUCAGUGUGAUGAAACGAGUAUGUUCUUGCAACCCUCGAGCUCAUCUUUCUGGAAAACCUGAUACUAGCUACACACUCGAUUUUUAUGCUACGUAUUAAAACAAUGUUUCAUAAGCUUAUGGGUGCUUACAUGGUUCUGACAGUAAUAGUGGAAGUGGAGCGUUUUUAUACUGUUGUGAUGUAUUAUGACCAAAUUGUGAUAACAUUAUGUAAAAGGAGUAUUUACCCCUUAUACAAAAUAGAAGAAAAGUUUGACAGUUAUUAUUUACUGUGUCAUGUGAUAUUGGAUAUUUUUCUUUGCACUUAUUAUAAAUAUUAUAUAAGGUU